AAAUUGAAGAGUUUGAUCAUGGCUCAGAUUGAACGCUGGCGGCAGGCCUAACACAUGCAAGUCGAGCGGUAGCACAGAGAGCUUGCUCUCGGGUGACGAGCGGCGGACGGGUGAGUAAUGUCUGGGAAACUGCCUGAUGGAGGGGAUAACUACUGGAAACGGUAGCUAAUACCGCAUAACGUCGCAAGACCAAAGUGGGGACCUUCGGGCCUCAUGCCAUCAGAUGUGCCCAGAUGGGAUUAGCUAGUAGGUGGGGUAACGGCUCACCUAGGCGACGAUCCUAGCUGGUCUGAGAGGAUGACCAGCCACACUGGAACUGAGACACGGUCCAGACUCCUACGGGAGGCAGCAGUGGGGAAUAUUGCACAAUGGGCGCAAGCCUGAUGCAGCCAUGCCGCGUGUGUGAAGAAGGCCUUCGGGUUGUAAAGCACUUUCAGCGGGGAGGAAGGCGUUAAGGUUAAUAACCUUGGCGAUUGACGUUACCCGCAGAAGAAGCACCGGCUAACUCCGUGCCAGCAGCCGCGGUAAUACGGAGGGUGCAAGCGUUAAUCGGAAUUACUGGGCGUAAAGCGCACGCAGGCGGUCUGUCAAGUCGGAUGUGAAAUCCCCGGGCUCAACCUGGGAACUGCAUUCGAAACUGGCAGGCUAGAGUCUUGUAGAGGGGGUAGAAUUCCGGUGUAGCGGUGAAAUGCGUAGAGAUCUGGAGGAAUACCGGUGGCGAAGGCGGCCCCCCGGACAAAGACUGACGCUCAGGUGCGAAAGCGUGGGGAGCAAACAGGAUUAGAUACCCUGGUAGUCCACGCCGUAAACGAUGUCGAUUUGGAGGUUGUGCCCUUGAGGCGUGGCUUCCGGAGCUAACGCGUUAAAUCGACCGCCUGGGAGUACGGCCGCAAGGUUAAAACUCAAAUGAAUUGACGGGGGCCCGCACAAGCGGUGGAGCAUGUGGUUUAAUUCGAUGCAACGCGAAGAACCUUACCUGGUCUUGACAUCCACAGAACUUUCCAGAGAUGGAUUGGUGCCUUCGGGAACUGUGAGACAGGUGCUGCAUGGCUGUCGUCAGCUCGUGUUGUGAAAUGUUGGGUUAAGUCCCGCAACGAGCGCAACCCUUAUCCUUUGUUGCCAGCGGUUCGGCCGGGAACUCAAAGGAGACUGCCAGUGAUAAACUGGAGGAAGGUGGGGAUGACGUCAAGUCAUCAUGGCCCUUACGACCAGGGCUACACACGUGCUACAAUGGCAUAUACAAAGAGAAGCGACCUCGCGAGAGCAAGCGGACCUCAUAAAGUAUGUCGUAGUCCGGAUUGAGUCUGCAACUCGACUCCAUGAAGUCGGAAUCGCUAGUAAUCGUAGAUCAGAAUGCUACGGUGAAUACGUUCCCGGGCCUUGUACACACCGCCCGUCACACCAUGGGAGUGGGUUGCAAAAGAAGUAGGUAGCUUAACCUUCGGGAGGGCGCUUACCACUUUGUGAUUCAUGACUGGGGUGAAGUCGUAACAAGGUAACCGUAGGGGAACCUGCGGUUGGAUCACCUCCUUA
rnacentral:rRNA from 1 species